rnacentral:rRNA from 1 species
GACGAACGCUGGCGGCGUGCCUAAUACAUGCAAGUUGAGCGCUAAGGGUUGGUCCUUGUACCGACUGGGUGAGCAGCGCACGGGUGAGUAACGCGUGGGGAAUCUGCCUUUGAUCGGGGGACAACAUUGGGAAACGAAUGCUAAUACCGCAUAAAAACUGUAAACAUAAGAUUUAAGAUUGAAAGAUGCAAUUGUAUCACUCGGGGAUGAGCCCGCGUUCUAUUAGCUUGUUGGUGGGGUAAAGGCUCACCAAGGCGACGACGCGUAGCCGGCCUGAGAGGGUGUACGGCCACAUUGGGACUGAGAUACGGCCCAGACGCCUACGGGAGGCAGCAGUGGGGAAUAUUGCACAAUGGGCGCAAGCAUGAUGCAGCGACGCCGCGUGGGGGAUGACGGCCUUCGGGUUGUAAACUCCUUUCGCUAGGGACGAAGCGCAAGUGACGGUACCUGGAGAAGAAGCACCGGCUAACUACGUG